rnacentral:rRNA from 1 species
AGUGAACGCUGGCGGUAGGCCUAACACAUGCAAGUCGAACGGCAGCACAGUAAGAGCUUGCUCUUACGGGUGGCGAGUGGCGGACGGGUGAGGAAUACAUCGGAAUCUACUUUUUCGUGGGGGAUAACGUAGGGAAACUUACGCUAAUACCGCAUACGACCUACGGGUGAAAGCAGGGGAUCUUCGGACCUUGCGCGAUUGAAUGAGCCGAUGUCGGAUUAGCUAGUUGGCGGGGUAAAGGCCCACCAAGGCGACGAUCCGUAGCUGGUCUGAGAGGAUGAUCAGCCACACUGGAACUGAGACACGGUCCAGACUCCUACGGGAGGCAGCAGUGGGGAAUAUUGGACAAUGGGCGCAAGCCUGAUCCAGCCAUACCGCGUGUGUGAAGAAGGCCUUCGGGUUGUAAAGCCGUUUUGUUGGGAAAGAAAAGCAUCAGGUUAAUACCCCGCUGUUCUGACGGUACCCAAAGAAUAAGCACCGGCUAACUUCGUG